CCUACGGGUGGCAGCAGUAGGGAAUUUUGCGCAAUGGGCGCAAGCCUGACGCAGCCACGCCGCGUGAUUGAAUGAGCCCUUCGGGGUGUAAAGAUCUGUCAGUGGGGACGAAACUUGUCGGUACCAACAGAGGAAGCACCGGCUAACUCCGUGCCAGCAGCCGCGGUAAUACGGAGGGUGCAAGCGUUGUCUGGAAGUAUUGUGCGUGAAGAGUUCGUAGGUGGCAGAUUAAGUCUGGUGUGAAAUGCAGGAGCUCAACUUCUGUUCUGCACUGGAUACUGGUCAGCUUGAAUGCGGUAGAGGUAAAGAGAAUUCCUGGUGUAGCGGUGAAAUGCGUAGAUAUGAGGAGGAAUACCGGUGGCGUAAGCGGUCUACUGGGCCGUAAUUGACACUGAGGAACGAAAGCCGGGGUAGCAAAUGGGAUUAGAUACCCCAGUAGUC
rnacentral:rRNA from 1 species